CUGAGUGUGAAAACGCGUGAAAUCUUAUGACCGUCAAUAGAAUAUAAAGGGCACGCAUGCUUGCUUUAAGAAAACCAAGAAUUUUGUAUCAUAAUCUGCCGUUACGGCUUGACUGCACGAUUGCUAUGAAAUAUUAUUUACAUUCCUUACUUUAGUGGUAAAGAAACAAAGUUCUUAACCUCUUUUAUACCAUUUGAGUUCUCAAGAUUUUGUAAAGUAUGCAGAUCACGACGGAAUGCUGGCCGACAUCAUGGAAUCUAUUGGCAUUACCAACAUCUACACCAUUGAUUCAAUCCAUCGUGAAACAACGCGAUGUGCCUCUGAAUGUUUGCCGAAAUCUUAGAACUAAACGUCUUCGACAAUUUCCAUACCAUCCACCUAGUCUUGACAAAUGAAUAGCUCCAGAAAAAGACUAGACCGAAAGAAGUUAAAAUUCCUGUUUACUUUCAUUAAUUACUGACAGCGGAUAAAGUAAUUCUGUUUACAAUGUUCAGGUUAUUCAAUGUUAGAAUUAGUGCAUUCAUGCUGAAGAUAAAAUUUCACAAUCUGUUAUAAGUGCCAAAGUUUGGCUAUGAUCUUUACUACAUAUUUGAAACUUUCCAAGGUACGCGCUCACUCAAACAGGAGGGAAAGUCAACAUGCACCUGUUGUGAAGAAUAUAAUCCUGCAAACUUUCGUGGUUGCUCUAAAUUCUCAAAACUACUGUUUGUUUCCACUAAAAAUAAGAGCCUGUAAUAAGCCUGUAAU